AGAUCCCCUGGAGAAGGAAAUGGCACCCCACUCCAGUAUUCUUGCCUGGAGAAUCCCAUGGGCAGAGGAGCCUGGUGGGCUAUGGUCCAUAGGAUCGCAGAGUCAGACACGACUGAAGCGACUGAGCAUGCAGGCAUCGAGCAGAGUGGAGAACACAUCAAGAGGAGCAAAUCAUGAAAGGAAAUGCAGCACAGGUUCCCAUUACUCUUUUCUCAUCACAGCCUAGCCGCACCUAUGAGUAGAUUAGGAUCCUGGAGAACAAACACACUGGACUCCAAACAAAGGUUCAAAGGAUACCUCAUCAGAGACAAGCUGAAGUAAUGGGAACAGUCCUCUCCACAGGGAUUGGAACACUUUUUCUGUAAAGGACCAGAUAGAAAACAUUUGAGGCUUUGUGGGCCAUGUGGUCUCUACCC
ensembl:lncRNA